ACCAGAAACAUGCAGGGGAACAAGAAACAAAAAUUCCGCUUGAUAGCCUCGUUUCCUCCAAAAUCGAUAGGCCACGCUUGUUUCUUGAUAGCCUCCAAAAUCUAUCAUCUCCUCGAUUUUGGAGGAAACGAGGCUAUCAAGCGUAAUUUUUGUUUCUUGUUCCCCUCCAUGUUUCUGGUGCGAGAAGAUGGAGUCGACCAGCUCAGUGACAUGUGAAUGGUCAACCCACCUACUGCUUUCAUGCCACUUGUUUGGAGGCUCUCUCAUUCCAAGGUCUCGUCAUUCCUAAUCGGAGAACUAUUUGGUGGCUUUUCCAAAUAGUUCGGUUGUAUGCGAUGGUGUUAAAAC